rnacentral:misc_RNA from 1 species
CCACCCUCAGGCUCUGCCUGGUGUUGGGGGCCGGCCGCCCUGGGCGGCCGCCCCCGAAAGACAGCGGCGGGCUCGCCCCGGUCCCGAGCGUAGUAGCAACACGUCGCUCCGGGUGCCGGGCGGGCUCUCGCCGUAAAACCCCCCAUACUUCUAU